GAUCCCAAUGCUGCACCGCCACGACGUAUACGACUCCAGCAUGGGGUAAUACAUCCUGUUAAAUAUAAACACAUAACCAAAUACGGUAUGGUCUGUUCCACAGGUGAACCAGGUGAACCUUAGACACUUCAGGAAGCACUUGGUGAUGAAAGAUGGAAAAAUGCUAUGAAUGAAGAAUACAUGGCACUCAAGAAGAAUAAAACUUGGCAUUUGGUUCCCCCACAGCAAGGUAAAAAUUUAAUUGAUUGCAAGUGGGUAUUCAGAAUAAAGAGGAAAUCUGAUGGAACUAUUGAUCGCUACAAAGCUAGGCUCGUUGCAAAAGGUUUUAAACAACGGUAUGUCAUAGACUACGCGGACACUUUUAGUCCAGUUGUUAAGGCUGCCACUAUUCGUCUUGUUUUGUCUAUUGCCGUUUCCAGGGGAUGGAGUCUCAGGCAACUUGAUGUUCAGAAUGCGUUUCUUCAUGGUGUUCUGGAAGAGGAGGUAUAUAUGAAACAACCUCCUGGGUUUGUAAGUAAAAGUGCACCCUCUCAUGUUUGCAAGUUGGACAAAGCACUUUAUGGUUUGAAACAGGCACCAAGAGCAUGGUACUCUCGUCUCUGUCACAAAAUGCAAACACUUGGUUUUGUCCCUUCAAAAUCUGACACCUCUCUGUUCAUCUACAACAAGUCCAAUACAUGCGUAUUUGUCUUAAUAUAUGUUGAUGAUAUUAUUGUGACAAGCUCAUCUGAUGAAGCCAUCAUAGGACUGUUAAAAGAUUUGAGUGCAGAUUUUGCCUUGAAGGAUCUGGAGACUUGCAUUAUUUUCUUGGGAUUGAAGUAAAGAGGCACAAGGAUGGACUUCAUCUCUCCCAAGAAAAGUAUGCAGUUGACUUGGUAAGAAAAGCUGGUCUACAGGGUUGUAAACCUACACCUACUCCAUUAUCCAGCUCAGAAAAAUUAUCUCUGACACAAGUGACUCUCUUGACUCAAGAGGACAGUACCAAAUACAGAAGCUUGGUAGGGGCACUUCAAUAUCUUACUCUUACCAGGCCUGAUAUUUCGUUUGCUGUCAACAAAGUAUGUCAGUUCCUUCAUGCACCUACAACUGUUCAUUUAACUGCUGCCAAACGCAUAGUCAGAUAUGUCAAAAACACAUUAAGCACGGGUCUCAAUUUUAGCAAGUCAUCUUCCACUCUUGUCAGUGCUUUUUCUGAUUCUGAUUGGGCAGGCUGUCUUGAUGAUAGACGCUCUACUGGUGGUUUUGCUGUUUUCUUUGGACCCAACUUAAUUUCAUGGUGUGCUCGUAAGCAAGCUACAGUCUCCAGAUCAAGUACAGAAGCAGAAUAUAAGGCAUUGGCCAAUGCCACAGCUGAAAUCAUAUGGGUUCAAUCCAUGCUCAAGGAACUUGGUAUAAAGAGUCAACAGGCUCCAUGUUUGUGGUGUGACAAUCUUGGUGCCACCUAUCUUUCAGCUAAUCCAGUGUUUCAUGCUAGGACCAAACACAUUGAGAUAGACUUUCAUUUUGUCGGAGAGAGGGUAGCUCAUAAGCAACUUGACAUUCGUUUUGUGCACUCCAGAGAUCAAAUUGCAGAUGGAUUCACAAAGGCAUUGCCAGUCAAGAGUUUUGAAAACUUCAAGUAUAAUCUCAACCUCAUGGAGUUGUGAUUAAGGGAGGGUGUUAAACACGUCAUGUGAUGUGACCGGCGCAUCUCAUAGGAGAUAGUUAAGGUAGUUAGGUUGUUAGAGUAUCAUGUUUAUCUCAUGUAACCUCUUAUCUCUAUCUCCUUUCUUGAUCUCCAAGCUUGUAAUCCAAACCGCAUGUAUGCGCUGUUAUGGGAGGUGCACCCCAUCUAUUUAACACGAACCCGUCGGCCUGAGCAAGGCAAGACGUUCCGC
rnacentral:rRNA from 1 species